CGGAGUGCCGGCGCGGAAACGGCCCCGCCCACAUCCCCGCCCACAGCUGCUCCGGCGCCGCCCCUGCCGCGGGGUGCACCCCGCGGAGCCCCGGAGCCCGACCUGACCAAAGGCUGUCACGCUGAGACUUUCUGCCCGAGCUGGGGUGGCUGUGACAAGACUUCCAGCAGCAGAGUGUGCCAGGGUCCAGCAGCUGUUUGAGGUGAGUGACUCCCAGCUGCUCAUAGGUCGUGCACCAGCCCGCAUCUCCUGCGAGGGAAGUUAAUCUCCACACAGCAGCCUAAGUGCCAGGACUGGUGGUGCCCAGUGCACAGCAGGGCCUCAGGACUGAGGCCACCUCACAUACCACAAUGGGGAAGCCAGCAUCAGACCAGAACUGACUGCAGUCAGAUGCUAUGAACUUAAAGUCCAUGUGAACCUUAACAUCAUUUAUCCACUUGGUGUGAAAUCCUUGCAGUGAGAAG